rnacentral:lncRNA from 1 species
UUUUUUUUUUUUUUUUUGAGACAAGGUCUCCCUGUUGUGCGCUGUGGCAUGAUCAUAGCUCACUACAGCCUCCACCUUCGAGGCUCAAGGGAUCCUCCAGCCUCAGCCUCCCAAAGUGCUGGGACGACAGGUGUGAGCCACUGCACCCAGUCUAAUCAUCCCAAAGCAAGUGUCUGUCGGUGUGGGUGGGGACUCUCCCAAAGCCAGAGGCCCUGUCAGCCUGCUACACGACUCUGGCCACCACCCUGCGGAUUACGGGCUCCUGGGAAAGCUGCCCCAGGGACCACGAUACCGGAGGUGGCCUGGGGCAGAAGGCGCGACUCUCUCUCCCUCCUCUUCCCCCACAGACCUUGGAAAGGUCUCGCCUCAAGGCCUCCCACCACCCUCAGCUGAGCAAAUGUGUGUCUAUUUUGGAAUAUCUGCAACGUCUUUGAGCUGGCGCCCUUGAAAGAGAGUAAUUUGGUGUAGCCGGCGGUGGGGGCCUCUGAGCCCAGCAGGCUGUUAUUUUGCCCAUCGGUUCCCCUUAAACACAUUCAAGCUCGGAGUGGGGGCAGCACCCCAUCCCCAGGAGCCCAGCUGGCAUUGUUUCCGGGGACACACUGACCUCCAGUCCUCAGGCCAGGAGCUAGGGCGUCCGAGGCCGUGGGGAUCCACUGCUCAGCCUGCUUCUGUGCUCCCAGGGCCUCGUGCCUCGGGCCAAACUUCUGGUUAGCGAAGAGAUACCUGGGUUUUCAGGAGACGGCGUCUCUUAAGCAGGAAUCCUCCGGCAAUUGCAAAUUGUAACCACGCACCGACCUGCAGCUGUUGUGAGUAAACUGAGCUGCGGCAGGCACGCUACCCCGAGGCCGCAGUGCAAGCGUGGCUACGGCCUGGCCCCUAGCAGGCCCCUGACUACACAAUGGAGGUCAGGUGUGGAUGACAACCAUGCACCCGGGAUUCCCUUGAAGUUUUCUGUGCUUGUGUUUAAGAGCUUAAAUUGUUUUGGAAAAUCACUUUAAAACUUUCACAGAGGACAUAAAAAGUCAUUGCCGUGAGCUUCCUUUGGUUCAGAGGAGCUUCCUUACUUUCCUGGGCCCCACGUUUGCGGUUUUGUUUGCAGGGACUGAGCGAAGUCAGCGUGUCCACACACACAUUCACCCAUUGCACAGGCUGCCUGGGGCCGGCAGACCACAGGGUCCCGCUAGGACAGCCAGAGCCCUCUGCAGAGCCUAGGGUACAGGCUGGUGGAGGACGGGGCUAGCCCUGGGUCCCCAGCUCAGCACUUUGUUCCUCUGUUCCCUGGGGAGUUGACUGGUGUUGGGGGCUGUCUCCCUCACCCACUCGGAGUUGAGGCCACAGGCAGAGGCCAGUCCCGGGAGACCUUGCGGCCGCAGCUUCCCGCUAGGAGGGGGUCAGAGACCCCUGUGCCAAUGUGGGACCAAGCCCUAAGGUCAGUGUGAACGCCCCCAGCCUCACGUGCUUCCCCCGCGGUCUCGGCUGGCUGUAGAUGGGGUCUCAGGCCCAGCUGCACAGCCCCAUGUCUGGCGAGGCAGGAACCCCUC